CAGGCCUAACACAUGCAAGUCGAACGAHGAAGCCGGAGCUUGCUCUGGCGGAUUAGUGGCGAACGGGUGAGUAACACGUGGGUGAUCUGCCCUGCACUUCGGGAUAAGCCUGGGAAACUGGGUCUAAUACCGGAUAUGACCUCCUAUCGCAUGGUGGGUGGUGGAAAGAUUUAUCGGUGCAGGAUGGGCCCGCGGCUAUCAGCUUGUUGGUGGGGUAAUGGCCUACCAAGGCGACGACGGGUAGCCGACCUGAGAGGGUGACCGGCCACACUGGGACUGAGACACGGCCCAGACUCCUACGGGAGGCAGCAGUGGGGAAUAUUGCACAAUGGGCGAAAGCUGAUGCAGCGACGCCGCGUGAGGGAUGACGGCCUUCGGGUUGUAAACUCUUUCAGCAGGGACGAAGCGCAAGUGACGGUACCUGCAGAAGAAGCACCGGCUAACUACGUGCCAGCAGCCGCGGUAAU
rnacentral:rRNA from 1 species